CACAGGACUCCCGCCCACAGGGACACAGCUUGUCCCAGAAUCCAGCUCCGCCUCCUCUUGGAUACACUGAAAACACACACUUCCUAUCUCCUACCCAGAAGCAGGUAGGUUACACGAAAACAAUGAUCUGAUAAGGCUUAUCUGUAAAAACAUGCCAAAAGGUAGUAACAACUGAGAUCUUCGUGUCAUAUAGUGGCCUUCCUGGAACAGCAUCGGCACACGUCUUCAAAGAGGGUAGUCUAGUAAUAGACCCAUUCAACACCCCAUUCUCUCAGCCUCCUCCUGCUCCACCCAUAACCUCUAGGAGUUGUAAAUGAGGGACAGGGAACAGGUGACCAAAGCGAUCUUCUAGGCAUGUCCAACCUGUCGCCCCAGGCCUACAUACAACCAAGAAUAGCUAUAAAGGCGGACUGACACAAAUUUGUACACUUAUUUAAAACAUGAAUUCUUCAUGCGAUUUUUUUUCCCGUAACUCAAUUGAGCAGUUCUCAAGCAUGAACUUUAUAGAUGACAGCAUCACGUUGCAAUGUGAAAAGGUUGGACAUGCCUGCUUUGAGGCAGUGGCCAAGGCUUCCACUGUGACUUUGACAUUGAAGGCCCUGCACUACAGCUUCCAGGCUGGUGUUCAGAUUCCCCUAUGCUGGUGUGCUAGCCCCGUCAUCUGGGGGGUGGAGAUGUACCCUGGCUAAGUGUGUUGGACCAUAUGAGCGCAACCAUAGACUCUGCACGCCUAACUCCUGUUCUGUUUGUUUUAAUUUAUCAAGAAUUCCAAGUCAAAUUCUGUCCCUAUUAUCCUGGCCAUCGUGGGACUGAUGCUUGUCACAGUCGUAGCAGGAGUCCUCAUUGUGAAGAAAUAUGUCUGUGGCGGAAGGUUCCUGGUGCACCGGUACUCGGUGCUACAGCAGCACGCAGAGGCUGACGGCGU
rnacentral:lncRNA from 1 species